GGCCAAUUGGUGUAGUGGUUAUCACGUCUCGUUCACAAGAGUGUGAACUUUCUUCCGAGAAGGUGCCAGGUUCGAUCCCUGGAUUGGUCA